GCAGAGACGCGAUAUCCCGAGGCAGCCUGGACUCCGGUCCCCGCCGGGCAGAGCCGGACAGCGCGGGUCCGAGGACAGCCAGGCCUGGCUGGCAGAGGAAACCACCAAUCAUCUUCUCCCGACCGCUGAGGGCAGUGGCGGCAGCCAAUGAAGGCCCAGCUUCUCGGAGGCGUCGCUUCGCGGUGACGAAACCCCGGCGCGCGCACCCAACUUUCCCGGGGCUGCCUCUUCAGCCCCCGGAGGCGGGGCUCCUUCGGGUGGGCUUCACCCGUUCCCUCCUCGCGCCUGGCCGCCUUUGCAGCGCUGAGGAGAGGAGACCGCACGCCGGCGACUGGACGGCGAGACCCGCUCCGGAGAGCGAACGCGCAUGAGAGAUGUAGAUGUCAGACGAUUGUCAGCAGCAUCUGCGGUGUGAGCCCACCGAUGAGUGACCGUGGUGACCAGUAGGAUAGAGGUGACUCGUGCGAGCACCAAAAUUACACAACACCUGCGAGCAAAAGACCGGACAGACACUGACUAAUCCACCUGUCGUGUGGUUGGGACUCAGACUCCUUUUCCCAGGCAUUGUAGAAGGUAGGUGAACACUUUUCA